AGUGAACGCUGGCGGUAGGCCUAACACAUGCAAGUCGAACGAGUGGCGGACGGGUGAGGAAUACAUCGGAAUCUACUCUGUCGUGGGGGAUAACGUAGGGAAACUUACGCUAAUACUGCAUACGAUUGAAUGAGCCGCUGUAGGAGUAGAGAGCUGGCGGGGUAACGGCCCACCAAGGCGACGAUCCGUAGCUGGUCUGAGAGGAUGAUCAGCCACACUGGAACUGAGACACGGUCCAGACUCCUACGGGAGGCAGCAGUGGGGAAUAUUGCGCAAUGGGCGCAAUCCUGAUGCAGCCAUGCCGCGUGUAUGAAGAAGGCCGUCGGGUUGUAAAGUACUUUCAGCGGGGAGGCGUUACCCGCAGAAGAAGCACCGGCUAACUCCGUGCCAGCCGCCGCGGUAAUUC
rnacentral:rRNA from 1 species